AGUUUGAUCCUGGCUCAGGAUGAACGCUAGCGGCAGGCUUAAUACAUGCAAGUCGAGCGGUAACAGGUGUAGCAAUACAUGCUGACGAGCGGCAGACGGGUGAGGAACGCGUACACAACUUCCCUCAAACUGGGGCACAACCUUGAGAAAUCAGGGCUAAUUCCCCAUAACAUUGCGAAAAGGCAUCUGAUUGCAAUUAAAGAUUCAUCGGUUUGAGAUGGGUGUGCGCCUGAUUAGCUAGUUGGUAAGGUAACGGCUUACCAAGGCAACGAUCAGUAGCUGGUGUGAGAGCACGACCAGCCACACGGGCACUGAGAUACGGGCCCGACUCCUACGGGAGGCAGCAGUAAGGAAUAUUGGUCAAUGGACGCAAGUCUGAACCAGCCAUGCCGCGUGAGGGAUGAAGGUCCUCUGGAUUGUAAACCUCAUUUAUCUAUGAAGAAAUGCCCGAUUUCUAUUGGGCCUGACGGUAAUAGAUGAAUAAGCACCGGCUAACUCCGUGCCAGCAGCCGCGG
rnacentral:rRNA from 1 species